UACUCGAGUGGCGAACGGGUGAGUAACACGUGGGUGAUCUGCCCUGCACUUUGGGAUAAGCGUGGGAAACUGGGUCUAAUACCGAAUAGGACCGCAUGCUUCAUGGUGUGUGGUGGAAAGCUUUUGCGGUGUGGGAUGGGCCCGCGGCCUAUCAGCUUGUUGGUGGGGUAAUGGCCUACCAAGGCGACGACGGGUAGCCGGCCUGAGAGGGUGUCCGGCCACACUGGGACUGAGAUACGGCCCAGACUCCUACGGGAGGCAGCAGUGGGGAAUAUUGCACAAUGGGCGCAAGCCUGAUGCAGCGACGCCGCGUGGGGGAUGACGGCCUUCGGGUUGUAAACCUCUUUCAGUAUCGGCGAAGCUCCGGGAUUUUUCUUGGGGUGACGGUAGGUACAGAAGAAGCACCGGCCAACUACGUGCCAGCAGCCGCGGUAAUACGUAGGGUGCGAGCGUUGUCCGGAAUUACUGGGCGUAAAGAGCUCGUAGGUGGUUUGUCACGUUGUCCGUGAAAACUCACAGCUUAACUGUGGGCGUGCGGGCGAUACGGGCAGACUAGAGUACUGUAGGGGAGACUGGAAUUCCUGGUGUAGCGGUGGAAUGCGCAGAUAUCAGGAGGAACACCGGUGGCGAAGGCGGGUCUCUGGGCAGUAACUGACGCUGAGGAGCGAAAGCGUGGGGAGCGAACAGGAUUAGAUACCCUGGUAGUCCACGCCGUAAACGGUGGGUACUAGGUGUGGGUUUCCUUCCUUUAGGGAUCCGUGCCGUAGCUAACGCAUUAAGUACCCCGCCUGGGGAGUACGGCCGCAAGGCUAAAACUCAAAGGAAUUGACGGGGGCC
rnacentral:rRNA from 1 species